AGCGAACGCUGGCGGCAGGCUUAACACAUGCAAGUCGAGCGGGCAUAGCAAUAUGUCAGCGGCAGACGGGUGAGUAACGCGUGGGAACGUACCUUUUGGUUCGGAACAACUGAGGGAAACUUCAGCUAAUACCGGAUAAGCCCUUACGGGGAAAGAUUUAUCGCCGAAAGAUCGGCCCGCGUCUGAUUAGCUAGUUGGUGAGGUAAUGGCUCACCAAGGCGACGAUCAGUAGCUGGUCUGAGAGGAUGAUCAGCCACAUUGGGACUGAGACACGGCCCAAACUCCUACGGGAGGCAGGAGUGGGGAAUAGUGGACAAUGGGCGGAAGCCUGAUCCAGCCAGGCCGCGUGAGUGAUGAAGGCCCUAGGGUUGUAAAGCUCUUUUGUGCGGGAAGAUAAUGACGGUACCGCAAGAAUAAGCCCCGGCUAACUUCGUG
rnacentral:rRNA from 1 species